AACGAACGCUGGCGGCGUGCUUAACACAUGCAAGUCGAACGGUACUUCUCUUCGGGGGUACACGAGUGUCGAACGGGUGAGUAACACGUGGGUGAUCUGCCCUGCACUUCGGGAUAAGUUGGGGAAACUGGGUCUAAUACCGGAUAGGACCACUGCCUGCAUGGGUGGUGGUGGAAAGCUUUUGCGGUGUGGGAUGGGCCCGCGGCCUAUCAGCUUGUUGGUGGGGUGAUGGCCUACCAAGGCGACGACGGGUAGCCGGCCUGAGAGGGUGACCGGCCACACUGGGACUGAGAUACGGCCCAGACUCCUACGGGAGGCAGCAGUGGGGAAUAUUGCACAAUGGGCGCAAGCCUGAUGCAGCGACGCCGCGUGAGGGAUGACGGCCUUCGGGUUGUAAACCUCUUUCAGCACCGACGAAGCGCAAGUGACGGUAGGUGCAGAAGAAGGACCGGCCAACUACGUGCCAGCCGCCGCGGUAA
rnacentral:rRNA from 1 species